rnacentral:rRNA from 1 species
UACGGAGGGUGCAAGCGUUAUCCGGAUUUACUGGGUUUAAAGGGUGCGUAGGUGGGCAGGUAAGUCAGUGGUGAAAUCUCCGGGCUUAACCCGGAAACUGCCAUUGAUACUAUCUGUCUUGAAUUUCCUGGAGGUAAGCGGAAUAUGUCAUGUAGCGGUGAAAUGCUUAGAUAUGACAUAGAACACCAGUUGCGAAGGCAGCUUACUACGGGAAUAUUGACACUGAGGCACGAAAGCGUGGGGAUCAAACAGG